AGACCAUUGUCCUGGAGACUAAAGACGGCUAUUUAGGACUUACAUUUAAUUCUAAGUUUCUUAGAUAAGAAAUCUCAAAAAAAAAAAAAAAAAAAGAAUGAUCAUACAUUGCUAACAUGGAGAAGCCCAAACAGAGCUUAUAGGACUAUGAUCAGGGAAUUUGUGGAAAAGGCCACAUGGCAACAGGCUCACACUACAAACUCCAUCUAAAGGAUGCAGCAUUUUUCUGUUUAAAAGCAUAGGAAGGUUAACCUUCCUCGUGGCCCAGACUUUCUACUAUGCCGAACUUUGUGCAGCCCUGCUGGAUGCUCUGGGGAAAGAUGCAACGCCAAGCCUACUCCAUUUACGCAGGCAGACACUGCAGUCUGGGAAAGCCUCCAUUCAGAGAGCUGCCUCUGACUUUCCAAAGUGCGGCCGUGCAUGCCUUUCCUCACAGGCUGAGAAUGAGGAGAAUUGAGGGUGCAGUUGAACUCGCUGAAGGUAGACUUCUCCGACAAGGGCUGAAAUCAGACUGCCAAGACCCACAGAUAAAGUGCAGAAUCAUUGGAGACUUUAGGAAAGCAGAGACAAACAGGAAGACCUCUUCAACAUUAAUGGAAAGAGUUAUAACUGCAGCAGAAGCAGAUCCAAGACCUGCAACCUGGACCUAAGAGUCAGGGGCACAGACGUGUACUCAGCAAGAACGCAGGUCAACAAGAGACCCAAGAACCACCUUGAUACCCUCUGUGCAAAGGGAAUCAUCGCACCUGACUUUCCAUCAAGCCUGCACCAGCACAGAGCAUGAGCAGCCUGUGCUGAAGCCAGACGGGCAAAGACUCUCAGAAAACUCACCCUACCUGGUCCACACCUACAUCCAUGCAGGAACUCAUGAACUCCAGGGGCAUUUCUCUAAAAGUAAAUAGACAGACAUUUCACUGGGGAUUCGAACAUGGGAAUAGCUAACCUUUCUUUCUAUAGCCAACGGUUCCUUCAUCCAGUGAUGGAUGGUGCACCCCACGUGGGAGAGUAACAAUCACUCAAGGGCUAGGUGCUCCCGUCUCCAAGGCUCUGCUUAUUGCUAGGAGAAUUCCUGAUGGAAGGACACGUAGCCCUCCUCCAGAAUCCAGGACAACAUUUUUCAUUGUGAAAAGAACUCUCACUUAUGAACGCCUGAAGCUUACACUGGGCCUUUCUCCCAGCAUCCACUGCCUCAGGGUACCAUACUGAGAUGCAGGGGGAAUCAUUAGUCAACAGCUAUAUAGCUAGACUAGGGGAUAAACAAAACUUUUAUUGAUGCUGUUGUUUAAUUCUGCCAUCUACCCAACAGUAAUAAAGUGAAUAAGUAAAGAGCCAGGUAUAAAAGACAGAGAGGUGUCAUCUGAGAUUAAGCAAGGGGAACCUGGGGACAGAGGUCCCACCUGGCCUGUCCAUUCAGCAGAUGUAUGUCUGAGCACAUCAUCUGUCUGCCUUUGGUCCCCACUUACUCAGCCAAAGCACAAGGGGAUUGAAUCAGAGGAUCCCCUUAGCUAGAAAAUAUAGUGAAUCUAUAUCUAUAUGUAUUCUUCUUUAUUUUUUCUUUUUAAAAGCAGCCACAUGGGAAGAAGGUCUAGGAAGUUCCAUUGCACCUCAGAGAGUAUGACUGGCAACUUUGGGUUGAGAGCCCCUUGGUGAAAAUGUUAACAACCAACUUCAGUACUUGACAAAUGGAGAGUUAAAAUAAAUCAUGCUGCCCCAAUAAAUAAAGGUUCAGCAUUUGA